rnacentral:rRNA from 1 species
CCUACGGGAGGCUGCAGUGGGGAAUAUUGGACAAUGGGGGCAACCCUGAUCCAGCCAUGCCGCGUGUGUGAAGAAGGCCCUCGGGUUGUAAAGCACUUUCAGUGAGGAAGAACGCCUGGUGGUUAAUACCCAUCAGGAAAGACAUCACUCACAGAAGAAGCACCGGCUAACUCCGUGCCAGCAGCCGCGGUAAUACGGAGGGUGCGAGCGUUAAUCGGAAUUACUGGGCGUAAAGCGCGCGUAGGUGGCUUGAUAAGCCGGUUGUGAAAGCCCCGGGCUCAACCUGGGAACGGCAUCCGGAACUGUCAAGCUAGAGUGAAGGAGAGGAAGGUAGAAUUCCCGGGGUAGCGGUGAAAUGCGUAGAGAUCGGGAGGAAUACCAGUGGCGAAGGCGGCCUUCUGGACUGACACUGACACUGAGGUGCGAAAGCGUGGGUAGCAAACAGGAUUAGAUACCCGUGUAGUC